GUUUGUCCUGUGCGACUCCCCGUAGUUGCCGGGUAGUGGAGGUCGGGCAUGCCCAUGAAACAUCCAAUGCGAAAUGCUAUGAAGGCGCCGAAAAGACUGCGAUUAACCUGAAAUUGCAGAGAAAUGUGCCACCAACUGCUUUUCAUAUCGCCUUCCUGCUGAGCUGAUAAGUCGCAAGUUGAGAAGGAGCGCGUAGAAAACACGAAGGAGCACAGAAAACUGUCCGUCCGUUUUGCCCUACAAAGGCGCCGAGAGUUUGACAGCGGCAGGACUCCAGUGCGCAGGCCUGACGUUAGGUAAACUGCUGGAGGGGACGGUUCAUCCAGAGGACUACAUGAAACAAUAAAGACAGUCCUUUCUGAAGAGGGAAGCAAGCUAAAACAUGAGGAAGGACGUGAGGAUACUACUUGUAGGGGAACCCAAGGUGGGGAAGACAUCACUGAUAAUGUCUCUGGUCAGUGAGGAGUUUCCUGAUGAGGUUCCUCUGCGAGCUGAAGAGAUCACCAUCCCAGCUGAUGUCACCCCGGAGAGGGUGCCCACACAUAUUGUGGAUUACUCAGAAGCUGAACAGUCAGAUGAGCAGCUGUACCAAGAAAUAUCAAAGGCAAAUGUUAUCUGCAUAGUCUACUCAGUCAACAACAAGAAGUCCAUUGAAAAGGUGACAAGCCACUGGAUCCCCCUCAUAACUGACAGGACGGACAAGGACAGCAGGGUACCAUUGAUCCUUGUGGGUAACAAGUCGGACCUAGUAGAACACAGCAGCAUGGAGACCAUCUUGCCAAUCAUGAAUCAAUACCAGGAUAUUGAGACUUGUGUAGAGUGUUCUGCCAAAAACCUGAAGAACAUUUCUGAGCUCUUCUACUACGCCCAGAAGGCUGUUCUCCACCCGACAGGACCCCUGUACUGCCCAGAGGAGAAGGAGUUGAAGCCCUCCUGCAUUAAGGCUCUAACUAGAAUCUUUAAAGUGUCUGACCUGGACAACGACGGCAUCCUUAAUGACAAUGAGCUCAACUUCUUCCAGAGGACGUGUUUCAAUACACCACUGGCACCUCAGGCCUUAGAGGAUGUAAAGAAUGUUGUCCGGAGGAACAUGAAUGAUGGAGUCAAGGACAAUGGACUCACACUCAAAGGCUUUCUGUUCUUGCACACCCUCUUCAUACAGCGAGGUCGACACGAGACCACCUGGACUGUGCUCCGGAGGUUUGGUUAUGACGAUGACCUGGAGCUCACACAGGAAUACCUGUUUCCUUUGAUAAAGAUCCCCCCAGACUGUACCACAGAGCUUAACCACAAUGCUUACCUCUUCCUCCAGAGUGUCUUUGACAAACAUGACAAAGACAGAGAUUGUGCGCUGUCGCCAGACGAGGUGAAGGACUUGUUCAAAGUCUUUCCCUACAUGCCCUGGGGUCCAGAUGUCAACAACACGGUUUGCACUAACGACCAGGGAUGGAUCACAUACCAGGGAUACCUCUCCCAGUGGACGUUAACAACAUAUCUAGAUGUGCAGCGUAGUUUGGAGUACUUGGGUUACCUAGGCUACUCUAUCAUCUAUGAACAGGAGUCCCAAGCAGCUGCCAUAACAGUGACACGUAACAAGCGCAUUGAUCUGCAGAAGAAACAGACCCAGCGCAGUGUCUUCCGCUGCAACGUCCUGGGGGCUCGGGGCAGUGGGAAGAGUGGCUUCCUCCAAGCUUUCCUGGGCAGGAAUCUGCAGCAACAGAGGCGAAUUAGAGAAGACCACAAGUCCUUGUAUGCCAUCAGCACGACCUAUGUUUAUGGUCAGGAGAAGUACCUGCUGCUCCAUGAGGUGAUGCCAGAUUUUGACUUCCUGUCAGAGGCAGACCUAGCCUGUGAUGUGGUUUGCCUGGUGUAUGACAUUAACAAUCCUCGCACUUUUGAAUACUGUGCCAAAGUGUACAAGCAAUAUUUCAUAGACAGCAAGACACCAUGCGUGGUGAUUGCAGCCAAGUCGGACCUGCAUGAAGUACGGCAGCAUUACAGUCUAUCACCGCAGGACUUCUGCCGUAAGCACAAGCUCCACCCACCCCAGCCCUUCACGUGCAACACGACCGACGCACUUAGCAAAGACAUCUACACUAGACUCACCACCAUGGCCAUGUAUCCCCAUGCCCGUCUCCGCUGUAUGUGCACCUGCAACAGGUGCACCUAUUGCCUGUGUCAGAACCUCCUCAAGUUGGAGCUGCUGCGCAAUAUUAAGGCCCAACUCCGCAGGGUCGUUUUCAACAGCUCCAGCCAGCCUACCAGCUCUCUGUACAGUUUGACACAGCGAAGUGUGACCAUGCUCAACCAGCUAACACACAGGCUGCUAGCCAGGCAGGUGACAGUGUGUCUGAAACCGUGUGAAACAUGCAUGAUGUAUUUGCUUUUGCAGUGCAAACUUGACUCAUAAUACUGAUUACUAUACAUAACACAAACAUAUUGUUAAAUUAGAAAUACAAGUUGUAAAUUGGAAACAUUUUCACUUCAUCCAGAGGCAUGAUGCAAUUUUCUAUUCUUAAAAAUUCAAACUAUAUUAAUAUUUGUAUCUACAGUUUCAAACUAGUAUACACCAGAUCUUUCUUUUCGUUAGAGGUUUUGUGUUUGCUCCUUCCUGUCCUGCAGUGGAUAUGCAAACUGUAAAUCUUGACUAACAAGCAUAUCAUUUGCAUUGAUAAUGAGAGAAACACAACCACUCUCUUUGGCUUGUGCUUCAAACUGAAAACCUCAUUGAAGUCUGCAUGUCUGCAUGUUUGCUAUGUGAUUUCUUUUAAAUUACAUAAAAUUAUUACAAUUCCCCAUGUCUAUUUAUUUCUUGACAGCACCAACUUUCAUCAGUUCUCAGAGUGCUUAAGUAUCUAUGAUGUUUUCAGUCUCGAUUUGUCUUCAUUUCCAUGCUUUACUCCGAAGUCUACACCAACAGGAGACUCUUUAUUUUGAAAAACACAGUUGUUCCUUUAAUCAUAUGCUUACUGUGCUUCUCCUAAAAUAAAAGCUCCUGUGCGUUUAGACUUCAUACAUUUAACAGGCUGAUGUUCAAAAUCAAAUUGUUCAUCUUUGAUGUUUAAAUUGAGUGUAUUGCACUGUACCAAUCACCCUGUCAUUUCACCCUGUUUUUCCUAUCUUGUAUUUCCUGUCUUUGUGUUUUUCCUUCCACUCUGUAGGUGUUCAUACACAAGUUUUUGGCUGCCCCUCUCCCUCAUUCUCUUGCAUGUUUUCACCCUCAGCUAAGCUGCUCGCUGCUAUGUUGCAUGGCUCAUGUGUUCUGUCUUGGUAACCAGUGGCGUGCCUUAGCAAAAUAUUGCCAUCUACUGGCAGCUGGGGAUAUGUUUCUCAUCUGUCCAUCUGUACAGUAAAGAGAGCUUGGUGUUUUGAAUAAGAUGUGGGAGGUUUACUGCUCCACAGUGCAGGGUUUUAAUGGCUAUUUACGGUGUUGGAUUUUACAAAAGUGUGUGAUUUUUGGCAAAUAAGUGAUUAUUAUUUUUGAUUUUUUUUUUUUCAGCCUAAAGUGGCAUAAAAUGCAGGGCUUCUGGUUUGGUGUUCAUGUACCCUAGCAGAACUGCAUAUUGAAGUUCUGCAUCGAGUACUAACUUUGCGUUGAUGCCUGUUUAAUCUCUGGGAGUUGUUGACACUAUUAAUAGCAUGACGCAUAAUAGACGGCCCUGGCAGUGCAAGGAGCAACACACCACAUUGGAUGCCCAACGUGUUAAAUGAAAAGUGGUGCUGGUUGAUUGGGUUGAAUUGUGUUGUUUAAUUUUACAGUAAAUUACUUCUUCAGUCACAAAUUACACGCAGAAAUAGCUAAUUGUGUCAGGCCACUUAAAAAAAAAAAAAGAAAAAAAAAUCAGAAAUGUGAAGGUCAGUUCAGAGGAAUUAAAAAUGUAGUCUUAUGAUAUUUACAUCCUAAAAUGACUCGGCAUCUCCAGUCUGGCUGCCAUGUGGUGUGUGCAGUAUGUAUAUGUAUAUGUGAUGUGUGUUAGAAGUGUGCGGUGACAUUUGAACAGGUAUGCAGUCAUGGUUGAGCUUGUGCUUUGGGUUUGGGCGGUGAUUGGAGUUCCCCUCUUUUCGGACUGGGUAGAGCUGGGUGUUACGGAUGAGUUCAGAUAUCACAAUGUUUUUGGUGUAAUUAUUGAUACUUAAACAAACCAUUUAAUUUAAACUAAUGAAAUUUCACCUGCCUAAGAAUCAUUAGUAAUGUUUCCAAGAAAGACAUUAAAAAACAUUUCAUGAAAAGCUUUUUCAUAUAUUUGUUUCAUAUAUAUAUUAAACUUAAAUUUAUUAGCAUGUCGACUGACACAAAACAUUUUUACAUUUUAUAGACCACCAUGAAAAAUUGAUUAAUCAACCAGUGUGUCAGUCGCUAUUGCAGCCGUAGUCAGUAUUAUGCUGAAAUAUUUCCCAGCUCUACCUGCUGAAUUGGAGUGUGUUUGUGUGUAUGGGCAUACCACUGGUAACAGUAUGACUGGGUGCGUGUGUUAUUUGUGUGGAAGGCUGUUGGGCUGGGUGGAAGCUGUGGGGGGCUGCCUGCUGUCAGAGGAGGAUUUCAGCCUGACGCAGCAGGUUUCAGCCAUCUCCAACGUGGAGGGGUCCAUCUUUAUGGAGGCCUCUGCAGAGCAGCUAAAUCUCCCAGAAAGGCACAUGGCUCAGGCGGACCUGAAAAACUCCACCUUCUGGCUGAGAGCGAGCGUAGGGGCCACAGUGUGUGCUGUGCUGGGCUUCGCCAUGUACAGAGCGCUUCUCAAACAGCGAUGAUGAGACAGCAUGAGACUUC